rnacentral:rRNA from 1 species
GACGAACGCUGGCGGCGUGCUUAACACAUGCAAGUCGAACGGAAAGGCCUGCUUUCCCUUGUGGAUUGCGGGUACUCGAGUGGCGAACGGGUGAGUAACACGUGAGUGAUCUGCCCCCAACUUGGGUAUAAGCCUGGGAAACUGGGUCUAAUUCCCGAUAGGACUGCAGGGUGGUGCCUGUGGUGGAAAACGAUUUUCUAGUGGUUGGGGAUGAGCUCGCGGCCUAUCAGCUUGUUGGUGGGGUAAUGGCCUACCAAGGCGGCGACGGGUAGCCGGCCUGAGAGGGUGGCCGGCCACCUUGGGACUGAGCUACGGCCCAGACUCCGACGGGAGGCAGCAGUGGGGCAUAUUGCACGAUGGGCGGAAGCCUGAUGCCGCGACGCCGCGUGGGGAUGACGGCCUUCGGGUUGUAAACUACUUUCGACCGAGAGGAAGCCACCUGGUUGGAAGGGUGGUGACGGUAGUGGUAGAAGAAGCACCGGCUAACUACGUG